UACGGAGGGAGCUAGCGUUGUUCGGAAUUACUGGGCGUAAAGCGCACGUAGGCGGCUUUGUAAGUUAGAGGUGAAAGCCCGGGGCUCAACUCCGGAAUUGCCUUUAAGACUGCAUCGCUAGAACGUCGGAGAGGUGAGUGGAAUUCCGAGUGUAGAGGUGAAAUUCGUAGAUAUUCGGAAGAACACCAGUGGCGAAGGCGACUCACUGGACGACUGUUGACGCUGAGGUACGAAAGCGUGGGGAGCAAACAGG
rnacentral:rRNA from 1 species